rnacentral:rRNA from 1 species
UACGUAGGGUGCAAGCGUUGUCCGGAAUUAUUGGGCGUAAAGAGCUCGUAGGCGGUCUGUCACGUCUGCUGUGAAAACUCGGGGCUUAACCCCGGGCCUGCAGUGGGUACGGGCAGACUAGAGUGCGGUAGGGGAGACUGGAAUUCCUGGUGUAGCGGUGAAAUGCGCAGAUAUCAGGAGGAACACCGGUGGCGAAGGCGGGUCUCUGGGCCGUAACUGACGCUGAGGAGCGAAAGCGUGGGGAGCAAACGGG